UUGAUCCCUGGCUCAGAUUGAACGCUGGCGGCAUGCCUUACACAUGCAAGUCGAACGGUAACAGGUCUUUCGGGAUGCUGACGAGUGGCGAACGGGUGAGUAAUACAUCGGAACGUGCCUAGUAGUGGGGGAUAACUACUCGAAAGAGUGGCUAAUACCGCAUGAGAUCUAUGGAUGAAAGCAGGGGACCUUCGGGCCUUGUGCUACUAGAGCGGCCGAUGGCAGAUUAGGUAGUUGGUGGGAUAAAAGCUUACCAAGCCUACGAUCUGUAGCUGGUCUGAGAGGACGAUCAGCCACACUGGGACUGAGACACGGCCCAGACUCCUACGGGAGGCAGCAGUGGGGAAUUUUGGACAAUGGGGGAAACCCUGAUCCAGCAAUGCCGCGUGCAGGAUGAAGGCCUUCGGGUUGUAAACUGCUUUUGUACGGAACGAAAAGUCUUGGGUUAA
rnacentral:rRNA from 1 species